UCCUCUCAGCCGGAUCGGGUUGUGCGACAUCGUCCGGAGGUGAUCGAUAGAGGGAAAGGUAUCGGAUCAAUUGUGCUGGAUUUUUCUUGAUUAGAUCUUGGAUCUCUUCCUUGUUGCUAACUGAGGUCCCGGUUGAAGUGAGGGGAGGUGAGGUUCCAUUAUUGCUGUGGAAUUGUGUUUGGUUCCGGCAGUAACAAUCACCUCAAUCCAGCAUCAACAGUAGGUUCGAUCUGCUCUGUUCUAUUUGUGAACUUUCUGAUUUCGGCAGUAAACCAUCCAGCAACAACAACAACUGGAUUUGAGGUAAGGAAUAGGAUAAUUGAUCUUGUUGUAGAUCAUGUUUC